CUGACUGCUAGUGGGGAAGGAUCUCUCUCUAGAGAUUGCUCCUCUUGGAUUCUUCUUCUGCAAGCUCAGGACACAAAAAAUCAAAGAGUGUGGUAAUGCUCCAACUACACUGAGGCUUCCAAAGUAGGCUGUCUGAAGUCCCUGAAGUGCAAAGCUUGGGUGCAGUUGUGUGAAUGGAGCACCAAUGCACAGAGGUACUAUCACUGGGCAUACUUAACUGGCAGUGAUGUUUUCUUCCAACUUCCAGUUGGAAUGAGCAAUUGUACAGUAUUGCAAUUACUCAAGGCCUUCACAAAUUAUUUCCUACUCCUGCAUGCACACCACAAAAUUGUUCAGACCACACUGCAUCCCCAGUGCUCUGGAAUGUUGGAUGUUGGAGAGAGGUGGAGGUGGGGCUCUGCAAAACACCUGCUUGAUGAAAUGCCUGCUCAUGUUCACUGUAUUCUUUAUGAAUUGUAGACAAACUCGGGCAUAUGUACACUGUAUCUUGACCCUCUUGCUUCUUUAUCUUAAUGCAUGUGUACCAAAUAAAAUACAACUAUAUGCUGGUGAAGGUUCUUGAAUUUUGGUAGGGUUACAUUCAAGUUGUUAAUCGAAGUGCUCUUCUUCAUCAGAGUUCCCCUAUCUCCUCUGGGGGGAAAGAAUAACAGAA